rnacentral:pre_miRNA from 1 species
UUGGCGUCUCGUCUUGCGCCGAUACCUUAACGUGGUUCAAGUGAACAGGAAGAGGUUUGCGAGAAUGUUGUUCUGAAAGAAUUAACCUGGACAGAGUAGCGCAGAAUGCAACACUAGGGUUUCGGAGUAUCAUUCUAACAAAUCUCUUCCUGUCUACUUGAAGCCACAAUAAGGCUUGGUGCCUGCUAUGAGGUAAG